rnacentral:rRNA from 1 species
UACAGAGGUCUCAAGCGUUGUUCGGAUUCAUUGGGCGUAAAGGGUGCGUAGGCGGCGCGGUAAGUCGGGUGUGAAAUCUCGGAGCUUAACUCCGAAACUGCAUUCGAUACUGCUGUGCUUGAGGACUGGAGAGGAGACUGGAAUUACGGUGUAGCGGUGAAAUGCGUAGAUAUCGUAAGGAAGACCAGUGGCGAAGGCGGGGUCUCU